UGGGGGAUAUUGCACAAUGGGGGAAACCCUGAUGCAGCAACGCCGCGUGAAGGAAGAAGGUCUUCGGAUUGUAAACUUUUGUCCUUGGUGAAGAUAAUGACGGUAGCCAAGGAGGAAGCUCCGGCUAACUCCGUGCCAGCAGCCGCGGUAAUACGGAGGGUGCAAGCGUUAAUCGGAAUAACUGGGCGUAAAGGGCAUGCAGGCGGUUCAUCAAGUAGGAUGUGAAAUCCCCGGGCUCAACCUGGGAACAGCAUACUAAACUGGUGGACUAGAGUAUUGCAGGGGGAGACGGAAUUCCAGGUGUAGCGGUGGAAUGCGUAGAUAUCUGGAAGAACACCAAAGGCGAAGGCAGUCUCCUGGGCAAAUACUGACGCUCAUAUGCGAAAGCGUGGGUAGCAAACAGGAUUAGAUACCCUGGUAGU
rnacentral:rRNA from 1 species